rnacentral:rRNA from 1 species
AACCAGCACCUCAAGUGGUCAGGAUGAUUAUUGGGCCUAAAGCAUCCGUAGCCGGCUUUGUAAGUUUUCGGUUAAAUCCAUGCGCUCAACGUAUGGGCUGCCGGGAAUACUGCAAAGCUAGGGAAUGGGAGAGGUAGACGGUACUCGGUAGGAAGGGGUAAAAUCCUUUGAUCUAUUGAUGACCACCUGUGGCGAAGGCGGUCUACCAGAACACGUCCGACGGUGAGGGAUGAAGGCUGGGGGAGCAAACCGGAUUAGAUACCCGGGUAGUCCCAGCUGUAAACUAUGCAAACUCAGUGAUGCAUUGGCUUGAUGCCAAUGCAGUGCUGCAGGGAAGCCGUUAAGUUUGCCGCCUGGGAAGUACGUACGCAAGUAUGAAACUUAAAGGAAUUGGCGGGGGAGCACCACAAGGGGUGAAGCCUGCGGUUCAAUUGGAGUCAACGCCAGAAAUCUUACCCGGAGAGACAGCAGAAUGAAGGUCAAGCUGAAGACUUUACCAGACAAGCUGAGAGGUGGUGCAUGGCCGUCGCCAGCUCGUGCCGUGAGAUGUCCUGUUAAGUCAGGUAACGAGCGAGAUCCCUGCCUCUAGUUGCCACCACUACUCUCAGGAGUAGUGGGGCGAAUUAGCGGGACCGCCGUAGUUAAUACGGAGGAAGGAAGGGGCCACGGCAGGUCAGUAUGCCCCGAAACUCUGGGGCCACACGCGGGCUGCAAUGGUAACGACAAUGUGUUCCGAAUCCGAAAGGAGGAGGUAAUCCUCAAACGUUACCACAGUUAUGACUGAGGGCUGCAACUCGCCCUCACGAAUAUGGAAUCCCUAGUAACUGCGUGUCACUAUCGCGCGGUGAAUACGUCCCUGCUCCU